rnacentral:rRNA from 1 species
GGAGGGUGCAAGCGUUGCCCGGAAUUAUUGGGUGUAAAGGAUGCGCAGGCGUCUCGACAAGUUUUCGGUGAAAUCUUCCGGCUUAACCGGGGACGUGCCGGAAAAACUGUCGAGAUUGAGUCCGGAAUAGGUUGGCGGAAUUCGUGGUGUAGCGGUGAAAUGCAUAGAGAUCACGAAGAACACCGGUGGCGAAAGCGGCCAACUGGUCCGGCACUGACGCUCAGGCAUGAGAGCGUGGGUAGCGAACAGGAUUAGAUACCCUGGUAGUCCACGCUGUAAACGAUGUAUGCUAGUUGUCGGCCCUCGGGGCCGGUGACGCAGUUAACGCGCUAAGCAUACCACCUGGGGAGUACGUUCGCAAGAAUG